rnacentral:rRNA from 1 species
GACGAACGCUGGCGGCGUGCUUAACACAUGCAAGUCGAACGGAAAGGCCCAGCUUCUGUGGGGUGCUCGAGUGGCGAACGGGGGAGUAACACGUGAGUAACCUGCCCUUGACUUGGGGAUAACUUCAGGAAACUGGGGCUAAUACCGGAUAGGAGAUCCUGCUGCAUGGUGGGGGUUGGAAAGUUGCGGCGGCUGGGGCUGGUCGCGCGGCUUAUUGGCUUGUUGGUGGGGUAGUGGCGGACCAAGGCUAUGACGGAUAGCCGGCCUGAGAGGGUGACCAGCGCCCUUAGGACUGAGAUACGCCCCAGUCGCGUACGGGAGACAGUAGUGGGAAAUCUUGUGCAAUGGGCGCGAGCCUGAGGCGGCAGCGCUGCGUGCGGGAUGCCCGGCUGCGGGUUGAAAACCGCUUUCGCCUGUGACGAAGCGUGAGUGACGGUAAUGGGUAAGAAAGCACCGGCUAACUACGUG